CCCCACCCCUCCGUCUAAUGGGCAAGGACUAGCUCUGUGCGGAGCAGGUGAUGCGAGCUGGCACGCUCUCCUCUACUCACAACUUACCUAGUGCUCUCGGCAACACGGCUGCAGAGGCAAUCAACUACCACGACAAGUUCGUGGCCACCGUCGACAAAGUCAUGCUGUGUUUUGCUGAAUAACGGAGACGCCAUGGAGGGGGCGCGGCGGCUCUUUGGUACUCGUGGCGCCGCCGCGGUCGCAUCGACGUGCGCGACAACUGGCAGGCUUUCGAGCGUGUUCACAGCGUGGAAGAACUCCGCGGAGCGACAUCAUAGCAGAGAGUACAACCCAAGCACUUCGGACAGGAGCACCGUGGUGAAGCGGAACGUGAAGAGGAAGGAGAAGACCUCCGUGAAUCUCGAGGCAACGGUGAAGCGGUGUGCGCGGCUGAAGUCGACGGGUCGAUGGAGCAAGGCAGCCAACAGUAGACCAACGUGCUAGCACAACUUCGGUAGUAGGAAGAAGAGGACCAGCUCACCGAGAAGGCAGCGCUAGGCCAGGCGGUGGUUGAGGGUAUGCGAUGGGCGACUAUUUGGUGGGCCAGAAAGCUCUCCGCACUGGCGCACAGCCUGACAGUCGACUGUGGACGCUUCAGUACUUUCAAGGCGAGCAGUGGUAGCAGCCGGGCGAGCUCAACCAGCGCUGCAGAUGGCUACAGCGUCAGACUCCACCUACUGCAACUCCGCAGCAUCUAUCGAUCCAGCAGCAGUGGUCACAACAGCCUCCACGGAGGCUUCCACUACAUCACCUUCACGUCCAGCAGCUAGAAGUCAUCACUCCCUCGACGCCGCCGCUCGACGCACUUCUACUCCUCUCAGGACACCACCAUUGCUUGGUAGCCUCGUCGCUGCCACUCCAAAGAACGUGAGACGCGACCGUGCACACCGCAUCGCAAAGGUGCACGACGGCGGCAGCCGCAGAGGUGCCUACUCAUGCGGGCGGUGCUAGUGUUUCCCGGAGCUAGAAGUGGGUGUGGGUGUAACUAUUCCGUCUCACACGCGUGGCUGGAGUCGCCUGUGCGGUUGACAACCGAGAGGCGUGAGUUUCCAUGCGUCUCUCUUCGGUCUUCGCCUCAUGGGUUCCUUCUGCACAAACACCGCAUCUCCCUCCGUGAGCAGUGCCGCAUAGCCGCUCGGAAUUCCCAAGAAUGCCCUCGCGCGUGCUUUUUCGUCGUGUGUUGUGGGAGGAGGGAGGGAGGUCGCGUCUUGCGUGUGCUCACCUUUGCCCCUUCACGCCCCACCUGCCGGCUUUCCUUUGUUGCUUUACUGCCGCCUGCUUCGCUGUCCUGCUGCAUAUUUUGGCGUUCACGAGGGUAUGGACACACGCUCUAUACGCCUCGUCAGCGCAACAGCACACGCUUCUCUGCAAGACAACCCCGAGCAGCG
rnacentral:misc_RNA from 1 species